AUUGAACGCUGGCGGCAGGCUUAACACAUGCAAGUCGAGCGGGAUGAUGGUGCUUGCACUAUCACUUAGCGGCGGACGGGUGAGUAAUGCUUAGGUAUCUGCCUAUUAGUGGGGGACAACAUCUCGAAAGGGAUGCUAAUACCGCAUACGUCCGACGGGAGAAAGCAGGGGAUCACUUGUGACAUUGCGCUAAUAGAUGAGCCUAAGUCGGAUUAGCUAGUUGGUGGGGUAAAGGCCUACCAGGGCGACGAUCUGUAGCGGGUCUGAGAGGAUGAUCCGCCACACUGGGACUGAGACACGGCCCAGACUCCUACGGGAGGCAGCAGUGGGGAAUAUUGGACAAUGGGGGGAACCCUGAUCCAGCCAUGCCGCGUGUGUGAAGAAGGCCUUAUGGUUGUAAAGCACUUUAAGCGAGGAGGAGGCUCUUUUGGUUAAUACCCAAGAUGAGUGGACGUUACUCGCAGAAUAAGCACCGGCUAACUCUGUGCCAGCCGCCGCGGUAA
rnacentral:rRNA from 1 species